rnacentral:rRNA from 1 species
GGCAUGCUUUACACAUGCAAGUCGAACGGUAACAGGCCGCAAGGUGCUGACGAGUGGCGAACGGGUGAGUAAUGCAUCGGAACGUGCCCAAUCGUGGGGGAUAACGCAGCGAAAGCUGUGCUAAUACCGCAUACGAUCUACGGAUGAAAGCGGGGGACUCGCAAGAGCCUCGCGCGAUUGGAGCGGCCGAUGUCAGAUUAGGUAGUUGGUGGGGUAAAGGCUCACCAAGCCAACGAUCUGUAGCUGGUCUGAGAGGACGACCAGCCACACUGGAACUGAGACACGGUCCAGACUCCUACGGGAGGCAGCAGUGGGGAAUUUUGGACAAUGGGCGCAAGCCUGAUCCAGCAAUGCCGCGUGCAGGAAGAAGGCCUUCAGGUUGUAAACUGCUUUUGUACGGAACGAAACGGUCUGGGUUAAUACCCUGGGCUAAUGACGGUACCGUAAGAAUAAGCACCGGCUAACUACGUGCCAGCAGCCGCGGUAAUACGUAGGGUGCGAGCGUUAAUCGGAAUUACUGGGCGUAAAGCGUGCGCAGGCGGUUUUGUAAGACAGUCGUGAAAUCCCCGGGCUCAACCUGGGAAUGGCGAUUGUGACUGCAAGGCUGGAGUGCGGCAGAGGGGGAUGGAAUUCCGCGUGUAGCAGUGAAAUGCGUAGAUAUGCGGAGGAACACCGAUGGCGAAGGCAAUCCCCUGGGCCUGCACUGACGCUCAUGCACGAAAGCGUGGGGAGCAAACAGGAUUAGAUACCCUGGUAGUCCACGCCCUAAACGAUGUCAACUGGUUGUUGGGUCUCUUCUGACUCAGUAACGAAGCUAACGCGUGAAGUUGACCGCCUGGGGAGUACGGCCGCAAGGUUGAAACUCAAAUGAAUUGACGG